rnacentral:rRNA from 1 species
CUGCUGCCUCCCGUAGGAGUCUGGGCCGUGUCUCAGUCCCGAAUGUGGCCGAUCAACCUCUCAGUCCGGCUACCGAUCGUCGCCUUGGUGGGCCGUUGCCCCACCAACUAGCUAAUCGGCCGCGAGCCCAUCUUUCAGCGGAUUGCUCCUUUGGCUGCAUCGGGAUGCCCCAUCGCAGCGUUAUGCGGUAUUAGCAGUCGUUUCCAACUGUUAUCCCCCUNUGAAAGGCAGGUUGCUCACGUU